AACUUUCAACAACGGAUCUCUUGGCUCUGGCAUCGAUGAAGAACGCAGCGAAAUGCGAUAAGUAGUGUGAAUUGCAGAAUUCAGUGAAUCAUCGAAUCUUUGAACGCACAUUGCGCCCCUUGGUAUUCCAUGGGGCAUGCCUGUUCGAGCGUCAUUU
rnacentral:rRNA from 1 species